rnacentral:misc_RNA from 1 species
UUAAUAUUUUAUGCUCAAUUAAGAGACGUAGACAUUCUUAUUCUUAUCGUGUUUAAAAUGUGUUAAGGUAGUUUGUGCACAGUGUGAAGGAAUGAAUGGGUCGGACCUCUAAAAAGAGCGUCCUUGCAUUUCAUGAAUGAUCCUUCCGCAGGUUCACCUACGGAAA